rnacentral:rRNA from 1 species
AAUAGAUACCCAAGUAGUCCACGCCGUAAACGGUGGGCGCUAGAUGUGGGGCUCUUUCCAUGAGUUCCGCGUCGCAGCUAACGCAUUAAGUGCCCCGCCUGGGGAGUACGGCCGCAAGGCUAAAACUCAAAGGAAGUUGACGGGGGCCCGCACAAGCGGCGGAGCAUGCGGAUUAAUUCGAUGCAACGCGAAGAACCUUACCAAGGCUUGACAUAUACGGUCUAUCCCUAGAGAUAGGGAGUGCUUCGGCGCCGUAUACAGGUGGUGCAUGGUUGUCGUCAGCUCGUGUCGUGAGGUGUUGGGUUAAGUCCCGCAACGAGCGCAACCCUCGUUCUAUGUUGCCAGCACGUAAUGGUGGGGACUCAUAGGAGACUGCCGGGGUCAACUCGGAGGAAGGUGGGGGUGACGUCAAAUCAUCAUGCCCCUUAUGUCUUGGGCUUCACGCAUGCUACAAUGGCCGGUACAAAGGACUGCAAUACCGUAAGGUGGAGCGAAUCCCAAAAAGCCGGUCUCAGUUCGGAUUGAGGUCUGCAAC